rnacentral:rRNA from 1 species
AUUGAACGCUGGCGGCAUGCCUUACACAUGCAAGUCGAACGGUAACGGGCCUUCGGGUGCCGACGCGUGGCGGACGGGUGAGUAAUACAUCGGAACGUGCCCGAUCGUGGGGGAUAACGAGGCUAAAGCUUUGCUAAUACCGCAUACGAUCUACGGAUGAAAUCAGGGGACCGCAAGGCCUUGCGCGGACGGAGCGGCCGAUGGCGGAUUCGGUAGUUGGUGGGAUAAAAGCGUACCAAGCCGACGAUCUGUAGCUGGUCUGAGAGGAUGAUCAGCCACACUGGGACUGAGACACGGCCCAGACUCCUACGGGAGGCAGCAGUGGGGAAUUGUGGACAAUGGGCGCAAGCCUGAUCCAGCCAUGCCGCGUGCAGGAUGAAGGCCUUCGGGUUGUAAACUGCUUUUGUACGGAACGAAAAGCCUUCUUUUAAUACAGGAGGGUCAUGACGGUACCGUAAGAAUAAGCACCGGCUAACUACGUG